rnacentral:lncRNA from 1 species
GAAGUGGUUAGCACUAUUUAGAUUUGUUUGAAGAUACUAAGAAAAAUAUAGGUGAUUCUAUCUUAUUAGAUGAAUUCUUCAAUGAUAAUUACUUUAUAAUGGUAUGCUUCCUAUCUCUCUUUGUAUUCACAUAGGACGUGGUAGACAUUGAUUAUUAUAUUUGUAUUUAUGAUGAUCUAUUCUUUUGACUUGGGUAGGAUAGAAUGUGUGGGUGUCCAUAGAAGGCAUGACACUUCUUUGUUAUAUUGUAAAUAUAUGUUAUGAGAUUUGAUCUUUUACUAUAAUAUAUUGCCUUAUAAUCAAUCUUGAGUAUAUUUAUUUUAGAAGACAUUGAUACUAAAGACUUGAUUUUGUCUUAAUGUGCUAUAUUGCGAUGCUCAAUAAGUACCUAGUUUUAUGCUAUUAUUAUUAAGGAUGAAGAAAUUUCCAAAGAGAGAUUAAC